rnacentral:rRNA from 1 species
UACAGAGGGUGCAAGCGUUGUUCGGAAUUAUUGGGCGUAAAGCGCGUGUAGGCGGCUUUGCAAGUCGGGUGUGAAAGCCCUCAGCUUAACUGAGGAAGUGCGCCCGAAACUGCUUAGCUUGAGUGCCGGAGAGGAUGGCGGAAUUCCCCAAGUAGAGGUGAAAUUCGUAGAUAUGGGGAGGAACACCAGUGGCGAAGGCGGCGAUCUGGGAAGAUACUGACGCUGAGGUGCGAAAGCGUGGGGAGCAAACAGG